UGUGCGUGUGUGCAAAGUUUUAUAUUUUAACGCCUCAUGGAAAAGGUAUGAACUAUCGUUAGGUCAGAAAUACAGCGGUACGUUCAGUUAACUUACUGUCUGUGUGGCUUUGUAAUGUUUUGUCAUAAUUAGAUCAUUUCGUACUAAAAUUUAUCUUUUAAGGUCUUUUUUUUUUUUUCAAGUAAAUGUCUGCGACGUGCCGAAUCCAACAAUAACUUAUUUCCGCGCUCUUUUUCCUCAGGUAACGUUAGCUGCAUUAGCUACCCUUAACGUUAAACCACAAUAUUGCAGAAUUUGUUUUGCCUCCCAAAACAAUUUGAGAAAUGGUGGAUUCGCAGUAAUGGGUCUACAAGCAUCCCAGGAAUCUUGAAGAAGUUCCCCAGGCUUCUAGAAAAACUUGGCAUGAUUCUAAAAGAGAGAGUGCUUUCAAAGUCCUGCCCGCUCUGCUUCCCCAAUCAAUAUACAAGAACGGAGGACAGGUCUUCAGACCCACAACCACAGAAUCCUG